GACGAACGCGGCGGCGUGCCUAAUACAUGCAAGUCGAACGAGAGCGACCGGUGCUUGCACUGGUCAAUCUAGUGGCGAACGGGUGAGUAACACGUGGGUAACCUGCCCAUCAGAGGGGGAUAACAUUCGGAAACGGAUGCUAAAACCGCAUAGGUCCUUUAACCGCAUGGUUGAAGGAGGAAAAGAGGCGCAAGCUUCUGCUGAUGGAUGGACCCGCGGUGCAUUAGCUAGUUGGUGAGGUAACGGCUCACCAAGGCCGUGAUGCAUAGCCGACCUGAGAGGGUGAUCGGCCACAUUGGGACUGAGACACGGCCCAAACUCCUACGGGAGGCAGCAGUAGGGAAUCUUCCGCAAUGGACGCAAGUCUGACGGAGCAACGCCGCGUGAGUGAAGAACGGUUUUCGGAUCGUAAAACUCUGUUGUUAGAGAAGAACAAGUGCUAGAGUAACUGUUAGCGCC
rnacentral:rRNA from 1 species